CAAGAGCGUAUAUUAAAAGUUGUUGCAGUUAAAAAAGCUCGUAGUUGGAUUUCUGGUACAAUGCGCCUGGCCCGCGGCAGUAAUGCUUGUGAGUGCCGGUGCGCGUUUGCCAUCCUUCUAGAAAACGUUUCUACCCUUUACUGGGCCAGGACUCGCGAUCUAGACUUUUACUUUGAAAAAAUUAGAGUGUUCAAAGCAGGCUUUUUGCUGUGAAUACAUUAGCAUGGAAUAAUAAUCUAGGACUUCGGUUUUUAUUUUGUUGGUUUCUAACACUGAAGUAAUGAUUGAUAGGGAUAGUUGGGGGUGCUAGUAUUGGCCGGCCAGAGGUGAAAUUCUUGGAUUCGGUCAAGACUAACUUAUGCGAAAGCAUUCACCAAAGGAUGUCUUCUUUAAUCAAGAACGAAAGUUAGGGGAUCGAAGAUGAUCAGAU
rnacentral:rRNA from 1 species